rnacentral:rRNA from 1 species
AGUGAACGCUGGCGGUAGGCCUAACACAUGCAAGUCGAACGGCAGCACAGUAAGAGCUUGCUCUUACGGGUGGCGAGUGGCGGACGGGUGAGGAAUACAUCGGAAUCUACUUUUUCGUGGGGGAUAACGUAGGGAAACUUACGCUAAUACCGCAUACGACCUACGGGUGAAAGCAGGGGACCUUCGGGCCUUGCGCGAUUGAAUGAGCCGAUGUCGGAUUAGCUAGUUGGCGGGGUAAAGGCCCACCAAGGCGACGAUCCGUAGCUGGUCUGAGAGGAUGAUCAGCCACACUGGAACUGAGACACGGUCCAGACUCCUAUGGGAGGCAGCAGUGGGGAAUAUUGGACAAUGGGCGCAAGCCUGAUCCAGCCAUACCGCGUGGGUGAAGAAGGCCUUCGGGUUGUAAAGCCCUUUUGUUGGGAAAGAAAUCCAGCCGGCUAAUACCUGGUUGGGAUGACGGUACCCAAAGAAUAAGCACCGGCUAACUUCGUGCCAGCCGCCGCAGUAAGAC